rnacentral:rRNA from 1 species
UACGUAGGGGGCAAGCGUUGUCCGGAAUCAUUGGGCGUAAAGCGCGUGUAGGCGGCCCGGUAAGUCCGCUGUGAAAGUCGGGGGCUCAACCCUCGAAUGCCGGUGGAUACUGUCGGGCUAGAGUGCGGAAGAGGCGAGUGGAAUUCCCGGUGUAGCGGUGAAAUGCGCAGAUAUCGGGAGGAACACCAAUGGCGAAGGCAGCUCGCUGGGACGGUACUGACGCUGAGACGCGAAAGCGUGGGGAGCAAACAGG